AUGUUUGAGCUGUUCCCAUCCCCAUCUCCCCUCUGUCCCGCAGGGCUCCGGGCGGCCGUGACCCUGCUGGAGUCCGGGGGGGACCUCCAGCCCCCCGGGGGGUCCCUGCGCCUCCUCUGCCGAGGGUCCGGCUUCAGUUUCGGGAAUUUUGACAUGUACUGGAUCCGUCAGAGACCCGGGCAGGGCCUGGAGUGGGUCGCGUGGAUCUACUACAAUGGUGCCAGCACCAACUACGCGCCAUCGUUGAAGGGCCGGGUGACGAUCUCCAGGGACAACGGGCAGAGCUCGGUGACGCUGACCAUGAACAGCCUCAAGGACGACGAUUCCGGAUCCUAUUUCUGCGCCAGAUGUUACACCAGUGGUUGUGGUAAUGCUGCUGAUGCUUAUGCUGUUG